GAUGUGCCGCGACACACUCGCGAGUAAAAUUAUUUCCAUUCGUGAAGUCAGCUGCCGGUAUUUAUGUUAUAAGUAUGGUAGGUAAGUAGGCAAGUUGCGGGCGAUAUUAUCGCAAACAGUGUAGCUGCGGUGCCGAACACGCGUAUAAUAUACGUAUAUAUAGUUCGAUUUCCCUCUCCCCUUUCCCCACGAGUCUAAAACGUCGCUUUUCCAUUUUUCGACAUUAUAAUACGCGUUCAAUAUUUUUUUUCCGCCGCUAUUAGGUGUUAUUAAUAUUAUAGCGAAUCGGAAGUAGCUCGUUAGUCUAUAUCGGAAUCAGCCGAUUUCGGCGGAUACUGCAGCGCCACAGUGAACACAACAAUAAUCCGUGCACUUGUCCCGGCUUCGGCCGCCAAUACAAUAUUUAUACGAAACAAUAUGGAGAUCAAGUAUAAAUUCGAAAUCGUCAUGAUCGUUUCCAGUGUGUUCAUGUUAUUGACCAUGUACGAACUGCCGAUGGCCACCUAUUUCAAAGUAAUUAACUCAAAACAAUAAUAACAUUACAAUAUUGUCGACACUAUAGUAAUAUUAGCCGAGCAGCUAUUAUAUGAAUAAUAUAGGAUCUGUAAUUUUAAGAUCUGGCUGGGGCGGCACGUUUUAGAGAGGGGUUGUACAAGGGUCAUGGUCCUCCUUCCCGACUAUCGGUUAAAUGCAUAUUGCGAAAUUGUACCGCUGUGCGGUACAAUAUCGUUAAAUAUACAUGUUUAUUAUUUUAAGAGACCUGCUAUAAGGAGUGCUUGCGUUUAGGUGCAUACAUUUGUAUAUAAUACGUAUUUGGUGAUCUUAACGAUAUUUUCGAAAAAAAAAAAACAUUUACGAGUAGAUAGUAGCACCGCAAGCAGGAAAUAAUUCGUGAGGGGAGGGGCACUUUUAAUAAUUUGCAUAUUAUUGCCUACUACGUUGAUAUGUUUUAUAAACAGUUGUACAAGCCAACACAAACAUAAACAAAUUGUAUAUAAGUUUAAUCACCAAUAUUAUUAAGUAGGCCAAUGAAGCAAAUAAGCUGAGGCAGCAAAAUGUAAAUAAAAAAGGAAGUGGGGCAGAGUCUUUGGUUAGAAUAGGUACGUAUGAAUAUGUCGACUAAACCAGCUCGCGUAUUAUUUGUUUGUUUGUUGGUUUUUUUUUUUUUUUUUGUGUUAUUUAUAUCAUAUAAAUUAAGUUAAUACUGUACAAACCAAUGGUUAAAACGGAAACAACUUCGAGGGGGGGUGGAUUAUAUUUACUAGAAAAUUCAAGGCUGUUCCAGAGAACUCACUGAACCCAGCCAAACUUUCAAGAAAUCAAUCGUGGAGACAGGACUUUCAAAACGUUUUACUCACACACGUAUUUGUACAUACAAAAUAUGUUAUGCUAAUAUAGAGUUUAGAUAUAACCUGCACUUUUAUCCCAAAAAAUUAACCUUUUUUUAUCCUAUACAUACGCAGUGGUGUACUUUUAAAUUAAUUUUUGGAUAUUCGCACUUUUGAAUGAUAUUCUAGACAAAAAAAAAAAAAAAAAAAAUUGAACAUAUUAGACAUCUCUAGACUCCAUUAUAAAAUGUGUAGUUUAAUCAUCAUUUUUAUAAUUAAACCAUAUCAUUUUAGUUGUUUCUAAAUAUCGUGCUAACUAUUCUUCAAAUACUUACCCAGUAAAUACAAAUAAUAUAGCAUAAUAUUAUAUUAGAUAUUUAAGGGGUGGAAGGUUGGUAUUUUCCAACAUUUUUGGUUUUUAUAGCUAAUUAGAAAGUUAUUUCAUUGAUAAUAUUGAAUUUCAUAGUUAUAAUAAUUAUGAAAAUUUAAACUUUUAUUAUAAUAUUUUUCACAAACUCCUAGUCUAAACGACCAAACAUUUCGAUUGACGAUUGAUCAUUGAUCAGGUAGAAUCGUCCCUCACAUCGGUUUAAUAAUAAUCAUUUUGUGCACGGACUAUUAAUAUGACGUACUCUUAAAUAGGUGCUACAAAAUCGUCAUAGAUAAUGAAGAUUAAAGAUACCUUUAUUAUAGAAGUGUAUCCAGAAUAUUUUUGUUGUGGGGGGGGGUUCAAUAAAUUUAAACUAUUUAAGUUCUAAAAAGUGUGAUAAGUAGAAAAAAUAAAAUAAAAGAAGGUCAUCAACAAAUUAGGUCCGCCGUUAAAAUAAAAUCUGAUUAAAGUAAAUACGAUUAUAUACUUACCUAUGUAGAGUCGCUAUUUACCUCAUCAAACAGUUCUUUUAGUUAAAUAUUCAUAAUAUUAUUUCAUUAUAUAUUUGUAUCACAAAAUGUAAGAACAAAUAAACUCGAGAAAAAAAAAUGAAAACAUUAUUUAUUCAAAAUUUAAACAUUGUCUGUAAAUAAUUAAACAAAAUGGCCAGACUGGCUGAGUUAAAAUAGUUGUUUACGUUAUCAGUGUCGGCACCGGGGAAAAACAAAUGGGACAUAAGUCCAGGGCCCCGCGCUUGUUUUGGUUUUAAUGGGCUCCGCGGUGUAUUACUAUAUAGGUGUACAAUCAUUAGUUAGAUAUACUAAAACUUUCUCCGGGGCUCCGCAAUCAUUAGUUAGGGUAUACUUAAGUAUUGUCCAGGGCUCCGCAAAACUUAGCGCUGCCACUGCAUAUUAUAAUUAUACUAUAAUAUUAACCUUAUUAUAUUUAAUAUGGGUUGCCAUUUAAAAAUCGAAAGUAGCUAGUCGUUCUAUCUCCGAAAAUAUCGAGGAUGACAAAUAAUAAUGAAGAUGUAACAUUUCAGAAGUGCGUGUUUCUUAAAUGUUUUAUAAAACAAGUUCCGGAAUAGCUGAUACUUUUUGAAACAAUGAGCAUCUUACACAUACGAAUGCACAUCAUGUAUAAGUACAAUAUAAACGGUUAAAAACGAACUAAAUUAAUUGAAUUAGAUUACGGAAGUCGAAAUAUUUAUAAGCCCCAGACAUAAUUGCAUUGUUAACAUUAAUACUAAAAAUUAAAAAUGUUUAAAAUCUCUUACCAUGAUGAAACGUUCAGAUUUCUUGAAAUACGAGUAAAACAAAUAAUAUUCCAAAUAUUCCAAUCGUCUACCGUCAACCGUAUCCCGUGUCGCACUAAUCUUACACAUUAAUGUGCUUGUGACAGUUGAGUUGAACGAGCACAAUAUCUAAACUAAACUUUGAAUACACACAGUGUUAUUGCCAUUAUCGCUUGACCUAUUAGGUGAACCGACUGAGAUUGCCAAGAAACCCGAAUGUGUUCCGACGAGAACAUUAUCUAAGAGAUAUGAAUAUUUUAUGAGUGUAUGUAUACAUGGAUUUGUGUGACGUAUUUAUAAUAAAAUAUGAUCUGCAAGUCAAAAUUCUAAUAAUAUAAAAAUUGUUUUUAAGAAAAAACUAUAUAUUUCCUAUAAAAAUGUUCAUCUACUUAUCAGGUCAUCUGCUACGUAAAAAUAAAAAUCCGUAGGAGGGUCCUGACCAACAACCCCCUCCUCCCAUGGAUAGGCCACUGCUUUAUUAUCUACGAUUGUUGUAUGUAUUGAAUUCGCUACCUAAAAACAAUAAUAAUACAACAUAAUUUAAAAGAAAUAUAUUUUGGCGACGGGCACAACAAUGACAAAAAUAUGUUACUAUCAAUAAUUCAGUCAUCAUUUAUCAGUAUGUGCUCGUAUAUAGGCGUAUACAUACGUAUCGUCUAUAUUUCAAAAUGUUUUGAACCGAAAGAACCUCAUAAUAUUAGUUUUGCAUAAAAUCUUCUAGAAUUUUAAAGUAAAUUUUCAAAACUUUGUUCAAUCCGAAUUAUAUCAGCGAAAACCCCACACGAAACCGAACUAGAACUCUUAACGUUUUAACAAAAUCCGAUUUAUUGUGCUAUAUCAAAACCGAACGCUGUCGAACUGGAGUUUAUAAACUUUUUAGGGUUAGUACCGUGUGUAUUAUGUAUAGAGGAGGAAAGCUAAAAUCCUGCACCGGCUAGCUGUGACCACCACAGAACUUUUCACUCCUCGAAAAUGUUUGUUUGGUUUAAGAUUAAAGUGAUUACUGCAGCUGCUAAUAUAAGACCCACGAGUUUGUGUCCUAAAAAUUAUAACCGACUACGUUGCCAUAUAAUUAUAUUAAAUCCGUCCUUUAAGUUAAAAUAUUUUAUUUUAUUUAAUCCACGAUGCAUUUAUAGUUCACAAAAUUUUGACACUUUUAAAAUUUAAUUAAUUAGGCGCCUUUUAAAAUCGUUUUGCAGAUUUAUGACCAUAAUAGCUACUGAAUGUUCCGCACAGAGGCCUAAAUGGAGACCCAAACGAAUUAAUAAAAAAACAAUCUAAAACAUACAUAAUCCUAUUCAGAAUUAAAUUGAAACAACACCCACGGUAUUGAUGCCAUUUAAAAAUAAUGGUAUCCACCACCAAAACUUUACCGUGACAAAAAGACAAGUUCCAGAACACCCCCACCACUUAAAAAAAAAAGUAAAAAAAAAAUAACUCCUCUAAGUAGUGAUCGUAAUACAUCGCUCUAGCCAUAUAUUUGCUACCCACUUAUAAAAAGUCGUAGAUUGGCGCAUUUUUUCUUAAAGUUCUCGAUUAAACUUUCUUCUCCGCGCUUCCGUUUGACGUACAGAGCUACAUUUUGCUCUCCAUACUUUAUUUUCUUACAUUCUUAGUUUUCCUUCUGUAGUGCUAGCGUUAGACAAAGCUUCAAGUCCGUAGGCGAACGUUGGUCUGUAUAGGUAUUAGGUAGUCAGUACUGCGGACUGCGAAGAGGCCUGUAUGAUGCACAAUAUGCAUUUUAUAGGCAAUAUCUGCAAUCAGUGGUAAAUCCUCUGGGCACCUUAUCGUAGUAGAAAAACGUUUUUGCGUAUACGAUUAUUAUACUCGCAAUAUUGCGCGCAUGUGAGUGCUAAAAUCUUAAGUAGUUAGUCUUAUUAUAGAUGUAAAUAUCGGAUGUGUAAUCGAAAAAUCGUUUAUUUUGUUGUUGGCACGCGCGCAACCUUUUCCGUUGUAUAAUAUCGCGACGUCGUCGUACGUUUUUUGUAUUCAUACUCGUCUUCACCGCCGCGUGUGUAUAAUAAACGUAUUAACCCACAUUCGACGAGCUCACAUCGCAGUACUCGUAUAUUGUAAUGUCGUAUUAAACAAUUUCGGAACAAUAGUAUUUUUAAACGAUUUUGAUUUUUUUCUGUUAGUAGAUACGAUUCAAUCGUGGAAUAUUUGAAGAUAGGCAUCGCGAUUUAUGGCCAGAGUGCGCAAACGACCAAUAAAGUAUAACUGCUGCGUAUGGAACCGAUUGCAUCGGUUCGAUAUAACGAUUGGCUGUUGUAGAAUUAUAUUUGUCUUGUAUCGAUUCGACCUCUACAACCUCUUAUCGGAUCGAUGAUUCGAAGGUCCGAUUUUGGUUCGACCUAUAUUAAGAGCAGUUCUAUAAGAUUAUCGAAUUGACAAAACAAUAUAUUAUGUCCAUCACUCGGUCACAAUUUUUUCUUGUCAUACGUUAAUAGCGUGAAGUAUUAAAUAAUAUUCCACGACUUAAUCAGUCGACAUUGUAAUGUGACAUUGAGUGUUCCAUUGUUUUUGAUAUACAAACAUGUAGGUAUAAAAUAUAGUUUUGUAUUUCCACAAUAGCAAAUGAUAGACAAUUGUUUAUUAACCACAUAAACCAUAAACAAUAACAAAAAUACUAUUAACAGUAAAAUAUAAUAUGCAAUAUUAUAACUUAUUACCUAUUUAUUUGUAAUGAUAUAUUGUAUAACACCAACCGAACUGGCUGUUUCGUAUUAACAUCGAUAUUAUGCUGGGAGGUUCAUCUGGAAUUAACAUCAUUAUAGUUAUAUAAAAGAUCGUUUAUCGUCGAUCGUUACAAUACACUGCCGAAUUUAAGUGGUGAUGGAUAGAGACGUCGGGGAAAACAUUCGUUUUGCAACAUUCUUUUUUUAUUACCAGAUUUAUAGUGGUAUCAGGUCAAUUCCAGUCGGUGCGUGUGUAUGUAUGUGUAGGUACUCUAUACUAACCUGUACCGGUGGAGGCUUUUAUUUUGGCGUUUUAGGUUCAAAUUUUGACGAAAAUCGUAAAAAUCACGGAAUUCCAAAACACGCAUAACUUCGCUCAAAAUCGUAUUUCAUAGCAAUGAUUUAUCGUUGAGUAUACAUGCAAAUUAAAUUACCCUAAACUAUGUCCUACCUUGAUCCGAACUUUCUGACAAUAACAGUGGUACACUAAUUAGAGGUAUCAGGUCUUUAUUUUUACAACUAAGUAAAACUUACGAUGAACCUUAUUUUAUUAAAUUUUCGAGAUUUUUGUUAACUCAAACAAUUUGUAUCCACGUAAAACAAAAUUAAAACAUAAAAAAAAAUAGGACAAUUUCUAAAUGGGUAUAGAUAGAUUAAAAACUAUCGGAAAUGAUUAAUAAUUUCAACACAUCUAGAAAGGGCUAUGCUAAUAUAAAUAUUUCAGGUCUCUAAGGUUUUUGUAACUGAAUUAAAAUAAUGAUAGAAAUAAUAAUCACAAUAAAAUUAAAGAAGCCGUCCUACGAUAAUGUGGACGUGUGCAGCCACUGUUAUUGGUGAAAAGUUGGUAUGGUAAAAUAUAAACGGAAAUUUAAUGUAUAUCUGUGAGUAACGAUUAACCGUUGCUAACGAAAAAAACGACUCUGAAUAGAGUUCGGUUAAUAGUGUUGUUUUGUCAACAAUAUAUAUGUCACAUUUUUGUAAAAUAAUUACAUAUGUAUUAAACAUUUUCUUUAAUAAUAUUUGUUUAUUUUAACGUGUACCUAUUUUUCUGUUCUCUCGGUUUUCCUAUGUUUUUCCCAUUUAUCGGGAAAAAUCCUAAGAAAAUCAAAAACCUCCUUAAAGUACCACCCCAGUAAGAUUUUCUUUCAAAAUAAAUACUAUCAUUGUAAAUCGGAGCGAAAAUGCUGGUAGAAAAGUUAUCCACAAACAAAAAAAAAACCGUAAUAUUUUACUAAUACAUUUCGUGUAUUUUCCCGUUUUUUCCAGUUUUUCUCGAAAAGUAAAAAAAUUACUUAGAAAAUCAAAAAAAAAAAAAAUGAUUUUUUUAGAAUACCUCUCCAGUCAGAAAAAAAAUAAAUAAAAAAUAAAAAUGAUUGCAAAACCAUAAGCCUGUUCGCUCUACUCAAAAUCUAAAAUCAAUACAUUUCUUGCUACGCUUAGAAUUUAAAAUGCUCGGUAAAACGAAACACUAUUUCGUAUGGAAAAAAUGAACAAAUUCAUUAUUUCACGUACAAGAAUGGUCUUUUAACAUACAUACAUGGAAAAAAGUACAUCUUCCUACAAAAAUUCGCACUCUAUACUAAAUGUCUAUUUAAAAUACUCGAGUACCUUAAUAUCAUUUUUUCUGGUUAUAACACAAUUUUAUUAUCGAACCGCCACAAUCUGCGUGGUUAGGUGAGGUAACGUACACAAGAAACGGAUCUUAUUUAAGCAGUCUACUAUAUAUUACAGGUGUUUCCGAAGCACUGCCGUUCAACUGCUGCUGCCUUUGAUCCUACAAACGUGAGUAUUCGUUACCAUUAGCUAUAAAAUAGACAGAUAGCGCAUGCAGUGUUUGAUCUAGGAUGUAGCUUUUAUAGAGUGGAACUAGAGUCGUCGCCAUUGGUUCCCAUGUUGACGACUCAACGAGUCGAGUACGGUAAUAUGGUACACGGGCAAUCUGUCUAUUGUAUUAUAUAUUAUGGUAUUGCGUUAAAAUAAUUUAAUAAUAAUAUUGAAAGAUAAGUGGGGGCGUCACUCGCACCCCCGAGGUUAAUUUGUUUAAAUACCGAAAGCCACGACGAUGAUAAUUCGGUUUCAAACGUAAAAACGAUUCCGAGCUGAGAACAUCGUAUUAAAAUCACCAAAAAACCGUUCUACUCGCUAGUCGAGUUAAUAUCGCCAGGUUGUCCGAUUGACUUCGAACCAAUGUUAAUACUUUGCGCAUUUAUUUGCCCAAUGGUUACGAAGAGCCUAGGAUAGGGCAAACGUUCCCAAAAACCCGAUAUUUCGACGUACAUUAUUUUGAUUUUGUACAACAACAUUGUCCAGAAAUUUUGCCGCGGAUUCGGUGCCCUACUCACAUUGAAAAGUCAUUAGUAACAAUUCAGUAUGUUGUUCCGAUACACAAAAUAUAGGUACGUCCCGUUGGAAAAACGGAAGUGUUGAAAACAGAAAAGCAAACAGUGCGUGGUUUCUGACACCGCUUAAAAGUUUAAACUAUUAUUACGAAACGCGCGUGUAUAUAUAGAGGCUAAUAUAUUUUUUAUGUUUGUGCCGAUUGCGGUUUGUCGAUAACAGUUUCGUUUAUUUUAAAGGGCACUCAUACACGAUGUAAUAAUAAUUAGACAGCGUAUUAUUUUAAAGGUUUAUGGGGCGCGUAAUAAUGUUGUAGGUACCGUUUCUAGUACACGGCGGUUAAAUAUUAUAAUAUAAUAAAAUAAUAAAGUAGGUAGCUAUAGAUAUGAAUAACAUUCGUGACUACAGUAUGUUUUUAAACACAUUUUAAUUAAAUAAAGAACUAAUAUAACGUCUGAAACAAAAAAAAUAAAAAUAAAACCGAUUUAUCAUAGGUAUAUUUAUACAGAGUGAUUAUUUAUCCUGAACUGGCAAUUAUCUCAGAGGAUUUUAAGUGAAUUUGAUUAUUUUUUUUUAAUCGCUGUGGAAUCAGCUGAGCUUCAUUUUAUGCCCGUUUUUAAUUUUAAUCAAACAGGUACCCCAUUUUCAGAUACAGAUGCGAGCAUAGUAUAUUUUUCUAGAAAUGUUGAUGUGCAUACAACUAAUAUCAGAUUUAUUGUUUGCGUGUUAUAACCGUUUAAAGUUUAGACCGGAAGAGUUUGGAAGAGUUAUCAAUUUAUCAUUUAAAAAUAAAUACCUUUAAUAUAUUAUUACCCUUACCUAUACUCGUCUGGCCUAAACUUUAAACGGUUAUAACUCAUAAACAAUAAAUUUGAUAUUAUUGUUACGCGGAUCAAAAUGUCUAGACAAAUAUACUCUACUCGAAUCUGUGUUCAAAAAAGUGGUUCCUAUUUGAAAAACCAAAAGUAUAUACUUAUUUAGGGUGCACGGAGUUGGGGUGAAAAAAAUUUAAAAUGGUUUUAAAAUAAAGCUUAACCGAUUCCACAACGAUUAAAAACAAACAGGAAUCAAAUUCGCUUAAAAUCUUCUGUGAAAAUUGCCGGUUCGUGAUAAAAAAAAAAAAAUCACCCUGUAUUUAUUUCGGUAGUAAUAUUGCACGAGCAUACAGUCGUAAAAUCGUUAAAGCGCAGUAAAACCGUUUUAUUAAAGUCAUAUAAUAGUAGGUAUUAGGCACCUAUGUCAUACAGUGUUGACGUUUCGUUAUAUCACAAGCAUUGACGUUUUGUAGUUUGCGUGUACCUAAUAUAAUUUAUUUUACGGGUCCAGUAGUUUUUGCACACGAUACGAGUGAAAUGAUAGCCAAUUAAAAUCGCGAAAAAGAAAUGGCGAAAGUCAAAGAUAUCGCGAAAAUUGCAAUUUAAUGUUUUUUUUUUUUUUAAUUUUCAAAACAAAAAUACCGAACAAUAGUUUGACAAUGUGUACAAAUCGAAUGAAAUAAUAUCUUGUACAUUCUGUUACAGAACGCCGCGGUCAAUAGAUACGCAACGCGGAUUUACCGCGGCAUUAUCUGCUUACUGUACAUACUGUAUCUGUCGUACACUCGAACGAACAUUGACACGACUCAAAAAAUACGAUUUUCGAACUAUCGCUAUCAGAAAAACAUCCUUUAUUAUUUGGCAUACCAGCAUUUUUUCAUCUAUUUAAUAUUAUGUUAAAGACACUAUGAACUAAUGUUUUAAUGUGAAAUGAAUCAUAACAGUUCCUAGUCUAAAUAUUGACACUUCUGAGAUGCGAAUUUAAUCUGACCCGACUAAUGUUGCACAAUAUUUUUUCUAGCCAGAAUAAAGCCAUAUCUCAAAAGUAACAGUUUCAAGUGGUGACGAUUGUUAAUCUACGCAUUACGAAGAAUUAUGAAACAUUUAAAAGUGGAUUUCCUAACAAUUUCAUGUUUUGAUUUGGGUCGCUAUUCUUUUGAGAUUGCGAUAUGGUGCGUAUAGGUACAUGUUCAAAAGAAGAAUUUCUUACUUAUCGCUAUGUUUUUUUUUCCUGAUAAAACGUUUCGCGAUUUUGAGUUUCGCUAUUUUUUCCCCGCAAUUUUCACAUAGACCCGAGUAAAAUGCAUAGAAGUCUUAAACAUAGAAAAUCUUAACCAUGACGUCAACGAAGUUUGGGACAACACCGCCUAUGAAACAAAAAAAGCACAUAUUUUUUCCUGAGAGAGCUUAGAAAGUCAAGCUCCUGCUUCUAUUUUCCACAGAUAAAGUUUUGGUCAAAUGACUUAGGAGACUCUUUCAUUAAACAAAGAUCAAUUUGACGAAAUAUGACUGAUAGCGAUUAUUUCGUUACUAUCGCACGUAAUUUCUUUGUUUAAACAUUUUAAAAAUUCAACAGUUUUGAAUUGUUAUGUUUAUUAUAUAAAUAUACAAGUAGAUACUAGCUAGUCUUAUUUCUUACUACAGUACACUUUUCAAAUCCGUACUACCAUAAUUCUAAUUUCGGACUACACACUUUGUGUCGGGAUUUAAUAAUAAAAAAAAAACGGAAUACACUCUAGCACACUUAUGGAAUUCUUAUCUUUCGCCCUUGUCCACCCCUCUCCCUCCCCUCCUAAGGUGUAUCAAAUAUCAAUAAAAGAUAUCUGUAGUCUUCGUGGGCAAAACGCACAACCAUAUAAACGCCGAACGGUGUUAUAUAAUUAUGUCAUAACAAUAUAAUACGUUUUAAUCAUUAUUCAUUUAUAACUUAUACGGGUUGUGUGCCGAUUUAUUAUAAUUGUUAAUUAAUCGUCUUUGAUUAUCACUGUUAAGGUUUUCCGACUCCUUGUGCAGGCCUUGAGUGUGGCGCAGAAUAUACCGGUUUCGUCUGGAUUGACAAAAUGAUAACCCAAUGGUACACCUAAGUUAAUUAACGCAAUUGUUUAAACGUAUGUUCCAUAUAGAAAUAUGUUUAAAACCAAUUGGUUUUUAUGGUACCGUGUAUAAAACAAUAUUUUGUUUAAACAGCCGACACUGGUUAAUCCGUUAAAUCUAGACUGGCCAAUAGUAUUUCGAAGCAUUGUUUUAAUUAAUUUGAAUUUAGAGAAAUUUCUCCCACAUUCACGAAACGGAACUGGCGAUACCGCAAACGACUGAAGGAAUUUGAAAACAUUUGCAAAUAGAUUUUCAUUGUAUUUAUCGAGAUUCGAGAGCAUCUAAAACGCCAUGUAUAUUUAAUUUUUCUGAAUAGGCGUGCCGUAAAAUUUGUUUCAAUGGCGACUUAUUCAAUAUAAUAUGAAUAAUUAAAUACAAAUAAUAUUACUUAAAUCUAUGAGUACUUUUUGAUCGUGAUUUUAAUUAUAAACGAGAUAAUAUAAACCCGGUGUAAUAAUAUUUUUGUGAUUCAUAAAUCGAUUAUUUAAUAUUAUUGCACGUCAACAAAUAGAAUAGAAAUUCUAAUUUUAAAACACAUACGUUCUUCGGGUUUGUAAGUUUGAUAAUUAGCUCCAUAUUCGUGUCGUUUUUACCAUCAUUAAUCUUAAAAUUUGACCUUUAUGUCGAUUCUUCAAAACACUUAUAAAACUCAACAUCAACGUAAUAAUAACCUAUCUCUAAUACUUUGUGUUUUUAAGAAAUUAGUGCAGUGGACAUAUGACGUUUGAGAUUAGGCGACAGCCGUUGUUUUUUUAAUUCAUACGAUUAUUAUUUAUUACGUUCAUUACGUUUUAUUAAAUCUAAAUGCUUUAUUGUCGACAUAAAAUUAAUGUUUUAAUAAGUUCGAUAAACAAAUAUAUUAAGUAUACGUUAAAUAUUGAAUAAUAAUAUAUUACGCGGCCUGGUGGAGGGGUGGGGUGACAUGGCCUCCCAAAACCCCUCCUUGUAUACACCACUGUUUUAUUAUUAAGUUGUGUUUUGCUAAACUCUGACCUACGGCGCGAAUCAAAAAUAUCCAUUAAUUGCAUUUAUAAUAUUUAUUAUUGAACGGUUUUAUUAUUCAUAAUUAAUUGUGCUCCUAAGUAUUAUUGCAACGCCAUUAUUAAAAAUAUCUGAUCGUUUCGCGUGCGUAAUCGAGAUAAUACAUCGUCUUGUAUAAUAUUGUUUUUUGUUUUUUUUACCGAUAGAGAUGAAAAAAAAGUACAGACUAUAACAGCUAUACAGUCACGGAUGUCGUUUAAACGGAAGGCGGUGAUUUUUUUUUGAAAUUUCAAAGAUAAAUCUAGAAAAAAUAAUCUGACCUAGAUAUUUUGCACCUCGGGUGGGCCAUUGUUUUUUCGUCGAUCAAAGUACUGUAAAUUGUUUAUAAUAUAUUGUUUCAGAUUCGAAUGUCAUAAAUCACAAUACUAUUAUUGUCAUAUUCGAAAAACCAUUUUCUACACUUCAAAUGAAGAGUCCAGAAAUAAUAAAAUCCAAACAGUUUUUCGUUAAGAAAUUAAGGCGUUGAGGAAAAUAUAUUAUAAUACGUGGAUCAAUAGUUUUCGAUUAUGGGUGAAACUGCCGAGUGCUGGUGUAUAGUGGGAAAACGUGGAAAUAAUUGAAAUCGCGAAGGUGUCCUUUAUAACAAGUCAUGCGAAGCGACAAAUACUUCGGUGUUUGGGACACUUGGGACCUAACCUGCGAAUGGAGGAAACAAGCAAAGUUAAAUCACUAAUCGAAUAGAAGCCGGAGGGAAGAAAACCGAGAAAAAAAACAAUGGAAAAGAUUCAGAACCGUGAUUGUUGGAGGACAGUGACAGUGGCAAUCUUACAGAGUUAUGAGGGAUAAUACUAUAUGACGACGAAGAAGUUCAAUAUCGUAGUUGUUCAUCAUUUUGGGACCCUUCUUGUGUUCUUGUACAUGCAUUGUAUAAAGUUGCAGGUGAAACUUUUCGAUAGUGUUUAGAUGUGCUUAAUCUAAAAAGUGUUAAUCAAAAAAAAAAAACCAACCGCAUCGCAAACUAUUUAAUAGCUAUCUACUGCCCCUCUCGGCAUUUUAAACUACUCGUGUUGCAGAGUUUGCAACAGUCGUAAAACAAUCGCUUCCAGUUUUUAUCGUUUUCUCCUCUAUCAUAAUUAAUCGUCACCAUGAAACCACCUGCAAUCGUUUUUAUAAUGGCUCAAUUUUAGGUUUAAGAAUUUGAAUUGUCUACUCACUGAAAUAGCCGUAAAAUACCGACCAUUUAUAUUGUGGUAAAACGCAUUUGAGUAAAUAAAGCUAAAAGACUAUAAAGACGGUUUUAAGACUUAGAACACCAGUUUUUAUGAAAUUAAUAAAAAUGAUAUUUUUUGCUACCACGCCGUUUAUUAAAAAAGUUACAGUUUAGAAAUUUAAAUUUAAAAAAAAAAUUAAACGAUUUUGUAUACAACAUUUUUCUGAGUAUCGUACAGUGUUCAAAUCAUUUUGGACAUUUUUGAGCUAUUUACAUGCAUUUGAAAUUUUAGAGUUUUUUUUUUUUUUUUAGUUUUUAUUUGUUUUUAUGUCGAUAAAAUGUUUGAAAAUUCAACACAAGACUUAUCAUAUGCGUUAUACUUAAUGGUAAACGAAAAAAUGUAUCACAUAUCAGCAGUAUAUUUUUUUGUAAGUGUUUUAAAUUCCGAUUGUGACGAAAAUCGUAAAUUCAUGGCAUUUCGAAGCAUUUCAAACUUCGUUCAUAAUUGUAUUUAUCGUUAGAAUUGGUUUAUUAAUAUAUACGCAAUUAUUUGAAUAACUCUAUGUAUUCGUCCUCACUAACUUCUCAACCAAAACACCCGUCAUCAGCAAUAUCAGUUUUGUUUACAAAUAAUCGGUGAAAAUAUCGAGUUUGCUGAAAAAUACGAGUAUACACGUUCAAGAGUAUUGUUUCGUUUAUACUAUAUUACAAAAAAAAAAAAAAAAAAAACCCGCUUAGAAAAUCUAAAAACCACUUACUCGCCAACUACACGGGGGUUUCUACCAGAAAAGUUGUUUACAGACACGAAGAUUAAAAUUAAUAAAAAAAAAACACAGAUACGCGUUUUAGUAAUACCAAUACAUUUCUCGCACCGCUCAUAAAUUGAAACAAAAAAAAAAAAGGAAAAUAAAAUAUGAAAUUGAAGUCGGUUCGCGACACGAAUUCCAAGGCACGUUUAAAAUCGAAUCAUUCGCCGUUUAUUGUCGUUAUUGUUAUUAUGCUUAUUGUUUUUGUCCUUCGUUCCGACCAGAUACCUACACUUUUAUACGUAGAUAAGUAAACAAAAUAUAAAAAAAUAAUAUACAACUUUCUUUUACGCCUAUUUCCGCGACUCGUCGCCGUCAUUGCGUUCGUCGUAGAGUUCCGCGAGCGAAAAUACUGCACAACAAUGGUCACGACUGGCGCUCGUUCUUUUCGAAAAUUAUUCCGAUUGAAAAUAUUACCAUAUUAUGCGUUUUUUUUCUGUUUGUUAAAUUCGUCUUUAUUCAAAUUGUCGACGAUUUCAUUAAGUCGCCUACCUCGUCGAUCGCGCGUUAAGUCGAAAACGCGAUUGUUCGCGAAGACGCGACGGCGGUGGCGUUUUUUCAUUCUCCAAUAAAAAUGUAAAAAAAAAAACAAAAAAAAAAAAAGUAUUCGCCUCCCCACCACAUAUAGGUACACGUAAUUUAUGUACAUAAUAAUAUUUUAUGUAUUUAUAUAAUACAUAUAUACAUAUUAUAUUGUAUGAAAAAGUAAAAACCAUAAAAAAUCGAUAUUUCGACAGUCGUAUUUUUUUUUAUUUUUUUUUUUUUUUUAUCUCACUCAAGGACAUUCGACCGGAUUAAAGUUUUUUGAUAUCGCGAAUAUACGCACACCCGUAAAUUAUUAUCAUUAUUAUGGUAUUGUGCGGACCGAGCGAAUUAAUAUUUUCGCGACAGAUGAUUUAUUACGCGUAUAAUGUUAUAUUAUUAUAUACCUGCAGUCUGACGUCCGUAUAAUGAUAUUAUUAUAUACACAAAAAAAAAAAAAAAAAAAAAACAACUAAAAUGAUAUCAGUAUAAUAUUAUAAUUAAUAGGAAAAGGAUUUUUUUCUACAUAUAUAUUUAUUUUUAUUAUGCGUAUAUAAAAUUAUACGGUUUCAGUAAAUUGACACCUGCCAGCUGGUGUCGUACGCGAAAUGAUUUAUUAUAUUGUUUUCGGACCGUAUUAUUACUAUCGUAAUAUAUUUUGCGCAAAUUGAAUUUUUUUUUUUUCUAUUUUUAAUAUCCGAGUGUAAAUAUUUAUUUGUUUUUUUUUUCCAUCCGUACGACGAGUUUCGGCGUUAACGUUCGCGCCAAUUAUUCAUGUGAAUGCAGUUCGUCGAUUCUGUCGAGAAAGAAAAAAAGAAAAUUUUUUGAAAUUAUAAUAAUAUUAUGUUUUAGUUUUAGAUUCCGAGGCGUUUGUAUUUCGGUUGGCGAAUGUAACUGCGAUAAAUGCUCGCGUAAACCGACUUUACAGACGCGAGAAUUUCGCUCGGCGGUGCCGUGCAGCAGUUCGAAAAACGUAUCGCGUAGAUUGCCGACAAUUUUUCAUCGCAAUCACGACGAUAUUUGCAUUUUAUUUACGAACAAAACGGGCUCGCGCCCAAGCCGUUGUGGUAAAUACAAUAAAACCAACAACGAGAUAACAAUAAUUAACAACGCGUGUAAGCUUAAGAGCUAUUUACAGCUGGAUUUAUACACGGAUGAAAGAGGGGUCGUCGCCUUGUUAGCUAAUAUCAUCAUUCUUGUGAUUGGUUAUUCGCCGGGACGUACGGUCGGGUCGAACCGCGAGGAAUGCGUAAAGGAGUUCUACGGCGGGUGAAACGCGAAGGCGCUUCGAAAUAAACACGAGAAAUAGGAGACGGAGAAUCAAAAGCGGGAGAAAUGAUAGUGUUGUGAGGAAGGAAAUACUAUGAGAGGGUAGGACGGCUGUCAGCUAAAGAUUUCCGUUGAUUACCGCGUGAUUACGUCGGCCGUGCAAGGGGAUCGAUAGUUGCCGGUCUAACCUCGCCGCUUAACGCAGCGGUUAACCGAGUUCUGCUCAGAGCCGUUUUUCAAUUGCAAAUAUUCGUCGUGGCUUACGGUAUACACACCCCGACUAUCCGCCCGUACUGUAGUGCAGGCCGUUUACACACGGACACUAAGAGUUAUUGUAUUACAGCGCAGGUUUACCGGCUUUUUCUUUAGUUUCAUAAUUUCCAUCUAAUUUUUUUUUCGCUCUUAAUAUUUUCAAAUACAUUAAAAUUUACUAUACAAUACACACAUAUAUACAUACAAUACAUGCAUAGUUAUUUUAAUUGUUCGGUUUACGUGUUUCAGGAUUAUACCUUUGCACACCGAUAGCGAGCCAGGUGACGAAAGUUCGGUGAUGGUUUGGAUUAUGGAUGUUGUCGAGUAUUUAAUGUAUUUCACGACAAUAAUACUGGUGAAAAGAGCAAUGACGUUAUUGCAUUUGCUGUAAGAAUACAGAGAAAUUAAAUAAAAGAACGAACGCGACAUAAUUAAUAAUAAAAUAAUAAAGUAAAAAAAAAAAAAAAAAAAUUGACGCGCAUUUUUGGUGUUACAAUUGUUGGAUGUUUACGAUAGUUUACAUUUUCUCAUUGUCUGAUCAUUUCUCACUAUUCAAUGAUUCAAUGAUCAAUCGAUCCGCCANAAAAAAAUAUAAAAAAAAAAAAAAAAAAAAAAAAAAAAAAAAACAUUAAAAUGGUUAACACCCGUGAAUAAAUAUAGAAUAUCAUGAUUAUGUAUUUCUAUAAAAACCGUACACUGUCUCUCGUUUUAAUUCAUAUCAAUAAUAAAUUAUACAGGCUGGCAACACGAAGACCUGACGCAUGAAAUAACUUUUGUUGUGUUCAAUAUUUUUAAGUGUGUUUUGAUUAUUACUGCGCUACGAUUCCUAUAUUUUAUGUAUUUUUUUUUUAAAUUAAAAAAAAAAAAAAAAAAUUGACGCGCAUUUUUGGUGUUACAAUUGUUGGAUGUUUACGAUAGUUUACAUUUUCUCAUUGUCUGAUCAUUUCUCACUAUUCAAUGAUUCAAUGAUCAAUCGAUCCGCCAAUUCGUCCACGAAAAAAUAUUUUGUAAAUGAUUUCUGUUAACUUUAAACAAAAAUGUUCAGAAACGAUUAAUCAUUAGAAAAUAUUUGUAACGCCAAAAUUUUCUGUCAAAAUACUUAUAUCAUACAGAGUAAUUAAUACACCGAAGAGAAACUCAUUAUCUCGGAAAGUAUUAACUUUUUUCGGAAUUCGUUUUUUAGAUGAUAUAAGUAACUUUAAAAUAUCACUUUUCGGUUAUCUCUGUCACCCUUAAUUCGGAGAGUUAAACCACUAUCUACUUUUGAUUUUUAAACGGCGACCUGUAUUAAAAAUCACAUGAAUAAAUUGAGCAUUACUAUUAAUUUCUGUCAACCCGUUGACGAGAUAUUCCACAUUUGAGAUUCGGUGGGGAGAGAGUAGUGCAUGUGGAGUAUCAUUUGCGGCACGGCAUGGCACGUGGCGUUUUAUAGUGUUCCGCCACUCUCCCCCUACCCAAAUUUAAAGCGUAACGGACCGUCGACAGAUCCAUCUAUUUAUGGAAUAGUUAGUAUAUUUAGGUUUAUAUUUGAAAAUCAAAAGUAGGCAGUGGUUUUUCGCCUUAAAAUAAGGGUGAAAAAAAAUAACCGAAAUGAAAUAUUUUAAAGCUACGUAUUUCUUAAACGAUCUAAAAAACGAACUACGAAAAAAGUUAACACUUUCCGAGACAAUGAACGUCUUACGUUAUUAUACGUUCUAAAAGAACAAGUCUUUGAUAUUAGUUUUCAAGUUUUCGACGAAACUAUUAAACCUUUUUACGAUUUUUUUUUUUUUCUUAACAGAGCUAAUCCAAAUACUUUACCGAGAAACCCAAGUCGUCCGGUAUUCAAUUUUCGGCCAGGGAAGUAGGAGAAGGGACUCCGACGCCAAUUUUCUGACCACACAAUUCAUCGAACUCUUUAAUGAUUUUUGUUUUACAACGUUGUUCCAAAAUACUCACGCUAGUGCCAAUUAAGAAAACGCAAAAGCUAUUGUUUAAUAUUCGAGAAGCGUCGAUAUCAUUAGACGCUUCAAUAAUUUUACCGUAAUCCGUUUUUAUGUUCAAAAAUAUACACGCAAUGUGCGUUGUUUGCGAGAAAUGUGCAUGCUUGUUGUGCGGAAAACACCGAUCUCGCUUUAUUUCUAAUACCAUUACUAGCCGCGUAUUACACCGCUUCGCCCGUGCGCAGUCUCUGUGAAAAACGUAAUACCUGCUGUACUUAAUGUACACCCUACACAUGUAAAUCCUUUUUCUCAUAUCUAUUAUAGACGAAUUAUUCCGAAUGCUGCGUUACGGUAUGUUUAAGAUAAAUUUAUCAACACAAUUAGUUAAAUUAAAUAUAACAGCGGGUAUUAAAUUUUUGUUCAAAACUGCGCCGGGCAACACAGCUACAGUCAAUUAAUAAACAAAUUUUUUUUUUAUUAUUUUUUUUUUUAAUUAUACAUAAUAAAAUGAGUAGUAUCAAAAUCAUCAAAAUCAUUCCUAGAAAAUUAUUCUCAAUUUGAAUCUGCGUAUGGGUUUAUCAUUUACAAAUCCAAAGUGGCCGCUCAUUUCCGGUCCAAGGAUCAGUGGUAGAAAAAAAAAAAUUCGAAAAUAGCUGAUUCAUCAUGAAAGAGUCAGUACCCGUGUUACGCAGUUUUCUCGUUGCACUCUGAAAUCCCUGUCCGCACACAGUUUACUAUAAUCACAUAUUAAUUAUUACAUAUUCAUUGUCUUAAUAAUAUUUCUUUGUUAAAAAAAAAAAAACAAUUGUUUUACAUUAUAUAGAUAAGUGUUCAACAUCUUUAUAAUGUGUAAUCUUGAAAUUUAGUCACGUAAAUACAAUUGGUUAGCCCGUUAUAAUACC